AUUGAACGCUGGCGGCAGGCCUAACACAUGCAAGUCGAGCGGUAGAGAGAAGCUUGCUUCUCUUGAGAGCGGCGGACGGGUGAGUAAUGCCUAGGAAUCUGCCUGGUAGUGGGGGAUAACGUUCGGAAACGGACGCUAAUACCGCAUACGUCCUACGGGAGAAAGCAGGGGACCUUCGGGCCUUGCGCUAUCAGAUGAGCCUAGGUCGGAUUAGCUAGUUGGUGAGGUAAUGGCUCACCAAGGCGACGAUCCGUAACUGGUCUGAGAGGAUGAUCAGUCACACUGGAACUGAGACACGGUCCAGACUCCUACGGGAGGCAGCAGUGGGGAAUAUUGGACAAUGGGCGAAAGCCUGAUCCAGCCAUGCCGCGUGUGUGAAGAAGGUCUUCGGAUUGUAAAGCACUUUAAGUUGGGAGGAAGGGUUGUAGAUUAAUACUCUGCAAUUUUGACGUUACCGACAGAAUAAGCACCGGCUAACUCUGUGCCAGCAGCCGCGGUAAUACAGAGGGUGCAAGCGUUAAUCGGAAUUACUGGGCGUAAAGCGCGCGUAGGUGGUUUGUUAAGUUGGAUGUGAAAUCCCCGGGCUCAACCUGGGAACUGCAUUCAAAACUGACUGACUAGAGUAUGGUAGAGGGUGGUGGAAUUUCCUGUGUAGCGGUGAAAUGCGUAGAUAUAGGAAGGAACACCAGUGGCGAAGGCGACCACCUGGACUAAUACUGACACUGAGGUGCGAAAGCGUGGGGAGCAAACAGG
rnacentral:rRNA from 1 species